UACGUAGGGUGCGAGCGUUAAUCGGAUUUACUGGGCGUAAAGCGUGCGCAGGCGGCCCGUUAAGACUGGUGUGAAAUCCCUGGGCUCAACCUAGGAAUUGCGCUUGUGACUGGCGGGCUCGAGUACGGUAGAGGGGGGUGGAAUUCCUGGUGUAGCAGUGAAAUGCGUAGAGAUCAGGAGGAACACCGAUGGCGAAGGCAGCCCCCUGGGCCUGUACUGACGCUCAUGCACGAAAGCGUGGGGAGCAAACAGG
rnacentral:rRNA from 1 species